UUUUUCGUCCUCAACGGAUACAUUGUCAUUACAAACUUUACAAAAACGUCUAUUUGACGGGAUACCACGAUAACGCCCAAGUUCUAAUUCCAACGGAAAAGUCCCACAACGCAUUCUGGCUAAAGUCGAUCUCUGUUGUCGUGUCAUAUUAGUGGUAAUGUACUGCUGUGUUUCAAAGUUUGUUUCAAGACAUCUAAAAGUUCGUAAUUUUGGCAUGUUCACAAUAUCCAGUUUCCAUUUAUCGUGAUGUUUUUGACGGAGCAAAAGUUCUGAGUAGUUGGCAAUAAAUUUUACACUUAGUCCAUUUGUGUAGUUAUUGUUAAAUAGUUCCAAAAGUUCACAUUUUUCCAUCACUGAUUUUAGCUCGUUGUACCAUGUUUUCUUAUAUUUUUCUGAUAAAGUUGAAUCCCAUUGGAAAAUACGAUUUGGAAUUCGACCUACGUGCAUACUUGUUAUUCUAUGCCAAAGUCUUAUCAUGUUACACUGGCGACGGAUAUAUGCAGGGGUCCAACCCAUAUCACCACAAAUAGCCGGAAUCGGACUACAUUUCCCAACUCCCAUAAAUGUCCUGAUUGCUCUGUAUUGGAGUCUUUCAAUAUUAUCGUAAGGCUUGUAACCCCAGACACCUGAUGCAUAGUCCAUGAUUGGAACAACUGUACUUGUAAAUAAUUUUGUGUAUGUUUCGUAAUCAAAACCAUCCACCAGAAAAUAUUUUGAUGAUAAGGCACCAAGUGCUCUACUACUAGCUGUGAUGAGUUCGUUCACGCACUCGUUGUAUUCAAGAGUUUCAGAUAUUGUAAGUCCUAGGUAUCGAUAUCUUGGUGUGUAUUCGAUAGUUGUGUUCCCCAUCUUAAAUACUCUAUCUGAGCACGGAGAUGACUUUUGUCUAAUGUGCAUAACUUUCGUUUUAUCACAGUUCACUUGCAAGCUCCAUUUCACAGACCAGUUAUCUAGUGCUGUUAAUUGUUUUUGCAGUCCAUUUUCUGUAUCCGACAUAAGCACAAUAUCGUCAGCAUAUAGUAAUGUACUGAUUUCAAAGUUAGUAUCUAGACGGAUUCCACAAUUCAAAGCAUUAAUAUCUGUAGUUAAGUCGUUGAUGAAGAGUGCGAAUAAUGUGGGAGCCAAAUU
rnacentral:lncRNA from 1 species